CCUACGGGAGGCAGCAGUGAGGAAUAUUGGUCAAUGGGCGCGAGCCUGAACCAGCCACGUAGCGUGAGGGAUGGCUGCCCUACGGGUUGUAAACUUCUUUUAUGAGGGAAUAAAGUGAGGCACGUGUGCCUUUUUGUAUGUACUUGAUGAAUACGGUUCGGCUAGCUCCGUGACAGCAGCCGCGGUAAUACGGAGGACUCGUCCGUUAUCCGGAUUUAUUGGGGUUAAAGGGCGCGUAGAUGGGUUGGUAAGUCAGUUGUGAAAGGUUGGGGCUCAACCGUAAAAUUGAAAAUGAUACUGGCAGCCUAGAGUAAAGUUGAGGUAGGCGGAAUUCGCGGUGUAGCGGUGAAAUGCGUAGAUAUCACGAAGAACUCUCAUUGCGAAGGCAGGCUACUAGACUGUCACUGACACUGAUGCUCGAAGGUGAGGGUAUCAAAAGGGAUUAGAUACCCGUGUAGUC
rnacentral:rRNA from 1 species